AUUGAACGCUGGCGGCAGGCUUAACACAUGCAAGUCGAGCGGGGGAAGGUAGCUUGCUACCGGACCUAGCGGCGGACGGGUGAGUAAUGCUUAGGAAUCUGCCUAUUAGUGGGGGACAACAUCUCGAAAGGGAUGCUAAUACCGCAUACGUCCUACGGGAGAAAGCAGGGGAUCUUCGGACCAUGCGCUAAUAGAUGAGCCUAAGUCGGAUUAGCUAGUUGGUGGGGUAAAGGCCUACCAAGGCGACGAUCUGUAGCGGGUCUGAGAGGAUGAUCCGCCACACUGGGACUGAGACACGGCCCAGACUCCUACGGGAGGCAGCAGUGGGGAAUAUUGGACAAUGGGGGGAACCCUGAUCCAGCCAUGCCGCGUGUGUGAAGAAGGCCUUAUGGUUGUAAAGCACUUUAAGCGAGGAGGAGGCUACUUUAGUUAAUACCUAGAGAUGGUGGACGUUACUCGCAGAAUAAGCACCGGCUAACUCUGUGCCAGCAGCCGCCGUAA
rnacentral:rRNA from 1 species